rnacentral:rRNA from 1 species
UACGGGGGGGGCAAGCGUUGUUCGGAAUUACUGGGCGUAAAGGGCUCGUAGGCGGCCAACUAAGUCGGACGUGAAAUCCCCAGGCUCAACCUGGGAACUGCGUCCGAUACUGGAUGGCUUGAAUCCGGGAGAGGGAUGCAGAAUUCCAGGUGUAGCGGUGAAAUGCGUAGAUAUCUGGAGGAACACCGGUGGCGAAGGCGGCAUCCUGGACCACGACUGACGCUGAGGAGCGAAAGCCAGGUGAGCAAACGGG